CAGUCGCCGCGGGAAUACAGAGGGUGCGAGCGUUAAUCGGAUUUACUGGGCGUAAAGCGUGCGUAGGCGGCUAAUUGAGUCGGAUGUGAAAUCCCCGAGCUUAACUUGGGAAUUGCAUUCGAUACUGGUUAGCUAGAGUGUGGGAGAGGAUGGUAGAAUUCCAGGUGUAGCGGUGAAAUGCGUAGAGAUCUGGAGGAAUACCGAUGGCGAAGGCAGCCAUCUGGCCUAACACUGACGCUGAGGUACGAAAGCAUGGGGAGCAAACAGGAUUAGAGACCCGCGUAGUCCCUGUCUCUUAUAA
rnacentral:rRNA from 1 species